CCUGCACCCUGCAAAACUAGAGCCUCCAGUAUUCUCAGUCAGGCUUCUGAACUUCUUCAGUCAGAUGGCUCAACAAAAUCAUCUGGACUACUUUGAAAGUAGUCUGACAUCUGUUGGCUUGCUAAAGAAAUUGUGGCAUCAGCUGCAACAGUUUGAUAUGAUUAUGGUAUAAGUAAAAAUGGGUACUGCCUUACUUGGAGGUAACUGUGUUGUAGUCUCUUUACACCUUCCGGAUUGUACUAACCCAAGGUUGGCAUGAUCUGGAAUCUUCUAUGUGAAUUCAGUUACUACAAAAGAGAGGUGACGCCAAGGACUCUACAAUCUCAGUGCCUGAAAGUGGGUGGGAUUAGUAUUACUGCCUUGAAUGGAUGUUACUGCUGAAACCAUUACAAGUCUGAAAAGCUUUCUUUCCUGUAGCCAGCUGGAAAGGUGGCAUACUGCUGAGAAGAGAACCUGGAGAGAUACAUGAAAUAGAUUCUGAGUGCUUGAGGUAGAGGAAGCCAGUUGGAGAAAGAAGGAUACCUAUUGUUAAGUAGCUGCAGUUAAAUGGCUCCAUACCAGGCUCUUAUAGCAUCUUCAGAAAAUUAAUGGUGCUUCUGUGUAUUCUGAAAGUUAUUAAAUAAUAAUUCUAAAUUGUUAGUGCAAUUGUGACCAUGUUAAAAAGAAGUUAUUUUAUUGAGAUUUGAUUAAAAAAAAAAAGUUUUAUUAAUGCUCUGUGAAUAACAGCCUCAAGUGAUUUAUCUCACUUUAAUAGUGCAGCAGCAUACAGAUCUGCAAUGUGUACUCUCAUUAUUAAAGAGUCUUAGUGCAAAUAUUUAAAUAUCUAGUGAUUGGAAGACUUGACAUUUAUUGGAAUGUAGAUAUGGGAAGGGUUUAAUAAUGCUUUUAAUAUAACUUGACAGGACAAAAAAAAAAGUGCAUUAAUUCCAUUAUCAGAAUGCCUUAAAAGAAAAUUACAAAGUGGUGGAACUUGCAUUUGUACUUUCUUUCCACCUUCUGUGUCUGAACUGAACUGUGCUGUGAUUAGAAUAUGCUCAAGUAUUUGGAACAAAAAAAAAAAAGUAUGAUGAAUCUUAAAAUGCAAUUUUCCCCUCAUCAAAGUAGAGAAAACCCAUAUAACUUCAUUUAGAUAGUAAUUAUUUCUCGAAAUAUUCAUGAUCUGUAUUUAGAAACAGAUUUAGCGUUAAAUGCCCCAAAUUGAUAGGUGGAAAGGUAAAAAAGAAAAAAAGACUCUUUGAUCUGGG
ensembl:lncRNA